GAUGAAGAACGCAGCGAAAUGCGAUAAGUAAUGUGAAUUGCAGAAUUCAGUGAAUCAUCGAAUCUUUGAACGCACAUUGCGCCCCCUGGUAUUCCGGGGGGCAUGCCUGUCCGAGCGUCAUUACAACCCUCAAGCUCAGCUUGGUGUUGGGCCCCGCCGUCCGGCGGGCCCUAAAGUCAGUGGCGGUGCCGUCCGGCUCCGAGCGUAGUAAUUCUUCUCGCUCUGGAGGUCCGGUCGUGUGCUCGCCAGCAACCCCCAAUUUUUUCAGGUUGACCUCGGAUCAGGUAGGGAUACCCGCUGAACUUAAGCAUAUCAAUAAGCGGAGGA
rnacentral:misc_RNA from 1 species